AACGCGAAGAACCUUACACAUAUCUAGAAUCCUGCAGAGAUGCGGGAGUGCCUUCGGGAAUUAGAAUACAGGUGGUGCAUGGCUGUCGUCAGCUCGUGUCGUGAGAUGUUGGGUUAAGUCCCGCAACGAGCGCAACCCUUGUCCUUAGUUACCAGCGGGUUAAGCCGGGAACUCUAAGGAUACUGCCAGUGACAAACUGGAGGAAGGGGGGGACGACGUCAAGUCAUCAUGGCCCUUACGACCAGGGCUACACACGUGCUACAAUGGUAGGUACAGAGGGCAGCUACACAGCGAUGUGAUGCAAAUCUCAAAAAGCCUAUCGUAGUCCAGAUUGGAGUCUGCAACUCGCCUCCAUGAAGUAGGAAUCGCUAGUAAUCGCGGAUCAGAGUGCCGCGGUGA
rnacentral:rRNA from 1 species